CCGUUCUUAGUUUAUUUGAAUGAUAGUUUGUCGUGCUAGAGGGAGGCUAUGAUUGAUAGUCUAGAUCGGG
rnacentral:tRNA from 1 species